GUGGAAAUGAAACUCCUGGCUGGAAAAAGCAAGACCCUCAAGGGCUUGCUGGCCUCCCACCCCCCGUCCCAGAACCUGCGUGUGAGGGCAGCGGCUGGGACUCCCACUCAGGGCAGCAACUUCCUUCCUCUUCCCCGGCGACGGAGCCUGCGUCUGUGGUCUCCGUGGCUACCUGCCUCACAGCUGCCGCCCUGGCCCACCCGGCGUGCCAGCCGCUGACCUGCGCGAGCGUCCCCCCGGGAACCUCCCUCUGCCAGCCCGAGAUUUCGGCGUGAUAUGCGGACAACACAACAAUCGCCAAAGCCUCUGUCGAGGAUCUUUUCCCUCCGUUUUCCUCUGGGAGUUUUGUGGUUUCAGGUUUUACAUUUAGGCCUUUAAUCCACUUUGCAUUGGUCUUUGUGCCUGGUGUGAGAUAAGGGUCAGAUUUCACGCCUUUGCAGUGGAAAUCCGUGUUCCCUGCACCGUGGUGGCCUCUUGGUGCCCCGCCGAAAGUUAGCGGGCUGCGUACGUCUGGAUUCUCCUCUGGGGUCUGCAUUCCCUUCCCUGGGCCGUCUGUCCGUGCUUAUGCGAGUACCGUGUAGUUUUCAUGACUGCAGCUUUACAGUAUGAUUUCAGAUCAGGAGGUGUGGGGCCUACCACUUUUUCUUUCUCAGAAUUGUUUUGGCUAUUGGGAGUCUUUCCUGGUUCCAUGCAAAUUUUAGGGUUUAUUUGUUUCUAUUUCUGUAAAGAAUGCCAUUGGGAUUUCGAAAGGGAUCAGGUGGAAUCCACAGAUCACUUCGGGAAGUUU